rnacentral:rRNA from 1 species
UACGGAGGGUGCUAGCGUUGUUCGGAAUCACUGGGCGUAAAGGGCGUGUAGGCGGUUUGUUGCGUCGGCCGUGAAAACCUGCCGCUUAACGGUGGGCUUGCGAUCGAUACGGGCAGACUUGAGUUCGGCAGGGGAGACUGGAAUUCCUGGUGUAGCGGUGAAAUGCGCAGAUAUCAGGAGGAACACCGGUGGCGAAGGCGGGUCUCUGGGCCGAUACUGACGCUGAGGAGCGAAAGCGUGGGGAGCGAACAGG